GUCUACGGCCAUACCACCCUGAACGCGCCCGAUCUCGUCUGAUCUCGGAAGCUAAGCAGGGUCGGGCCUGGUUAGUACUUGGAUGGGAGGCCUUAUUUUUUUUUAAAUA
rnacentral:rRNA from 1 species